AGCAGUAAGGAAUAUUGGUCAAUGGACGAAAGUCUGAACCAGCCAUGCCGCGUGAAGGAUGAAGGCCCUCUGGGUUGUAAACUUCUUUUAUAGGGGACGAAAAAAGGGCAUUCUUGCUCACUUGACGGUACCCUAGGAAUAAGCACCGGCUAACUCCGUGCCAGCAGCCGCGGUAAUACGGAGGGUGCAAGCGUUAUCCGGAUUCACUGGGUUUAAAGGGUGCGUAGGUGGGUCUGUAAGUCAGUGGUGAAAUCUCCGAGCUUAACUCGGAAACUGCCAUUGAUACUAUAGGUCUUGAAUAUCCUGGAGGUGAGCGGAAUAUGUCAUGUAGCGGUGAAAUGCUUAGAUAUGACAUAGAACACCAAUUGCGAAGGCAGCUCGCUACGGGAUUAUUGACACUGAGGCACGAAAGCGUGGGGAUCAAACAGGAUUAGAUACCCUGGUAGUCCACGCCCUAAACGAUGAAUGCUCGACAUCAGCGAUACACUGUUGGUGUCU
rnacentral:rRNA from 1 species